GAAUUAAUAAGCAUACAUAAUUCGAAGAGAAUCAAAUUCACUAAUUAAAAGAAAAUCUCUCAAAACCUCUUGGAUGUUGGUCUUCUCCAACUUGAAUGUUAAUCUUUCAAUAGCAAUUUCUCCUUGUUGAACUAUUAAAUUCCUUAAAAUUAGCUAGUGUAUAGAUUUCUAAGUUUAAAUUGCUCUCACCAAUUUGUACUUUAAUCAAAUAGACAAAUUU
rnacentral:lncRNA from 1 species